rnacentral:rRNA from 1 species
UACAGGGGGGGCAAGCGUUUGUUCGGAAUUACUGGGCGUAAAGGGUUUGUAGGUGGCCACUUAAGUCAGACGUGAAAUCCCUCAGCUUAACUGGGGAACUGCGUCUGAUACUGAGUGGCUUGAGUGCAGGAGAGGAACGCGGAAUUCCCGGUGUAGUGGUGAAAUGCGUAGAUAUCGGGAGGAACACCAGAGGCGAAGGCGGCAACCUGGCUCGUAACUGACGCUCAUACACGACAGCAUGGGGAGCGAACGGG